rnacentral:rRNA from 1 species
CUUCUUAGAGGGACUAUUGGUGUCUAACCAAUGGAAGUUUGAGGCAAUAACAGGUCUGUGAUGCCCUUAGAUGUUCUGGGCUGCACGCGCGCUACACUGACAAAGUCAGCGAGUCUAUCACCUUGGCCGGAAGG